rnacentral:lncRNA from 1 species
CCUCGAUCCUCCCCUUUCUUUCUUCUUCGUGCCGUCGGAGGCUUGCCGAAGACAAAGACCAUGGAGGCCAAGACCACAGCUAUUGGGGUUUUCUCAUCCCCUCCAAGGGUUCGUCGAUGUCAUGUGGGGCACCACGGAUACCAGGCCUGCAUGAGGACACCGAUGGUUGCGGCGAAGAAAGGAGAGGCAAAGGAGGUGGGGAACUAGAGGAGAAGGUGACA